CAAGAAAAUAUUUUUCCUAAGCUUGUGGAUUGCCUAUUCCUCUUCAAAUCUUUCAUUUACAUGCCAUGUUUGCCUGAUAAGACACAGGCAGAUUUGUCAAGAAAUGCAGCAAAAAAAAGAUUCUUCCAUGGUUUGUUUGUCAGGAAUGGUAACCUCAAAAUUUGGAAAGUG